UGAACGCUAGCGGCAGGCUUAACACAUGCAAGUCGAGGGGUGACAGGGAGAAGCUUGCUUUUCUGCUGACGACCGGCGCACGGGUGCGUAACGCGUAUAGAAUCUACCUUUUACUAAGGGAUAGCCUUUAGAAAUGAAGAUUAAUACCUUAUAGUAUUUUAAAUUGGCAUCGAUUUAAAAUUAAAGAUUUAUUGGUAAAAGAUGACUAUGCGUCCUAUUAGUUAGUUGGUGAGGUAACGGCUCACCAAGACAGCGAUAGGUAGGGGUCCUGAGAGGGAGAUCCCCCACACUGGUACUGAGACACGGACCAGACUCCUACGGGAGGCAGCAGUGAGGAAUAUUGGGCAAUGGAGGCAACUCUGACCCAGCCAUGCCGCGUGCAGGAAGACGGCCCUAUGGGUUGUAAACUGCUUUUAUAUAGGAAGAAACUUACCCACGUGUGGGUAACUGACGGUACUAUAAGAAUAAGCACCGGCUAACUCC
rnacentral:rRNA from 1 species